rnacentral:misc_RNA from 1 species
UUUGCCAGCAGCAACAACAACAAGUCAGCUGGACAACCGAAGAUAAUGUAAACUCAGCUUACACACAAAAAAAGCAGUAAAAUAUAAAAUACAAAAAUUAACAGCUGCGUUUAUCUAUAGAUAUAUGUAUCUACACACACUCACAUCUAUAUAUUUGAAUAAGCGUCGUUCGAUUUGAAUCAAAAUUAAAGCCCAAGCUAUCAGCUAUCCCCACAAGCUUUGUACUCCACAAAAACGCUAACGAGCAAAAUCGAUAAAGACCAGAAAGCAACUGAAAUACCAUCAUACCAUCUGCCAUAGAUCUAUGCUAUAUACAUAUAUAGGUGUUGAUCUGUGCUCUUGAAUUUAGUGUUUUUUGUGUGUGCGUGUCGCGAGCGGAGCACUAAAAAAAACCAAGAAAAACGUAUAGUAAAACAAUAAAACGCAAGAAAAAAAAACUCUCUCUAGUCGCUAGGCUAUAACUAUACAAAAUACUAUCCAGCUAUCCCAGAUCCAGAUCCAGAUCCGUAAACAGCAUAUAGUUAUAUAUCUAUAACCCCAAAAAACACGAUGGCCAACGUUGUCAAUAUGAACAGCCUGCUCAACGGCAAGGACUCGCGCUGGUUGCAAUUGGAGGUCUGUCGCGAGUUCCAGCGCAACAAAUGCUCGCGCCAGGACACCGAGUGCAAGUUCGCCCAUCCCCCGGCCAACGUGGAGGUCCAGAACGGCAAGGUCACCGCCUGCUACGACAGCAUCAAGGCCACGCAACUCCUAGACAUGGAUAACUUCAAGGGCCGCUGUAAUCGUGAUAAACCGCCGUGCAAAUACUUUCAUCCACCACAGCAUCUGAAGGAUCAGUUAUUGAUAAAUGGACGCAAUCAUUUGGCCCUCAAGAAUGCACUGAUGCAACAGAUGGGCAUUGCGCCCGGUCAGCCGGUCAUAUCGGGCCAAGUGCCAGCCGUGGCAACAAACCCCUAUCUGACCGGCAUUCCGGCCAACUCGUACAGUCCGUACUACACAACGGGACACCUGGUGCCCACCUUGCUGGGUCCGGAUCCCGUGACCUCCCAACUGGGACCCGUGGUGCCACAAACAGUGCAGGUGGCCCAGCAGAAAAUACCACGUUCCGACAGAUUAGAGGUGUGCCGCGAAUUCCUGCGCGGCGCCUGCAAACGGGCGGAAUCCGAGUGCCGGUUCGCCCAUCCGCAGGAGAGCGUCGCCAGGCACGACGACGGCUCGAUAACGGUUUGCAUGGACGCCGUGAAGGGCAGGUGCGCACGCGACCCCUGCCGCUACUUCCAUCCCCCCCUGCACCUACAGGCACAAUUAAAAGCGGCCCAAACACGCGCCACCGCUGUCGCUGCUGCAGCUGCGACCUCACCUCUUGCGGCACACCAUCACCAGCAACAACAACAAUUGCAACACCAGCUGAACAACAUCAACAACAACAACAACCACAGCACCGCUGGCGCAGCAGCCACCUCGACAACAGCAACAACAACCACAAACAACGCCGCUGCCGCCGCCGCCGCUGCUGCCGCCGCCGCUGCCGCCGCUGUCAUGGGCCAUCACACACUGGAAGUGGGCAAGAAGCGGGCGGCGGACACGACCGACAUGUUUCCACUGAUGGAUGUUAAAACGGUUGGUUCAUUUUACUAUGAAAACUUCCAAUUCUCUGGCAUGGUACCGUUCAAACGUCCAGCUGCCGAAAAGUCUGGCAUUCCAGUUUAUCAGCCCGGUGCGACCGCCUAUCAGCAGCUAAUGCAGCCCUACGUGCCAGUCUCAUCCCAACCGGAGAGGGGCCUCAUGUACACUCAGUGUCCGAUGCUAGUGAACGGCACCUUUUACAUAAUUAGGUAUGCAGAGGUCGAAUCCCCCAUAUAUCCUCGUUUCUUUAUCCUGCGGCAAGCUUCCUGGCCGAUUUCGUUGUGCUUAGCUUUUGCCUUAGCUUCAGCUUUUCGUGUGCUUCAGUUUGGCGACUUGAGCGGCAAGGAUCGAAGAAGCUUCGUGGCUUUAACUUUGAGUUUAGCUUUGGCAGCUUUUGAUUUUCUCCCCUCCUCCAUCUUUGGUUUCUGUGUCGCACUUCUAGGGCCACGAUAAAAAAAAAAGAAAAAAAAACAGAAAAUGAGGCCUCGAUAUGAUGGUAAAGCCACUAACCCCACCUUUACGAUCUCUCUUUCUCUUCUCUCUUCUCUUUUCUUAUAUUUCUAGUGCCGCCUAUUAGGAUAUGUAAUUGUUACCGCCUAGUACCGCCCCAAUAGAACCUAAGAAAGAAAGAAAGCAAUCAGACUGAUCAGAUCAGAGAUCAGAGCAUUUUUGAGUUCCCUAAAAGACAUACAUACAUACAUAUGAUUACUGGACACCCUCCCGGUGUGCCAAGAUUUUAAUAGAUCUAUGUGCAGUCGGUUAAAUUGUAGAUUCGUUCAUUUAACUGAAG